rnacentral:rRNA from 1 species
AAAGGUAAGCUACUAAGAGCGAAUGGUGGAUGCCUUGACUGGUAAAGGCGAUGAAGGACGUACUAGACUGCGAUAAGCUACGGGGAGCUGUCAAGAAGCUUUGAUCCGUAGAUUUCCGAAUGGGGCAACCCAAUGUAUAGAGAUAUACAUUACCUAUAUAGGAGCGAACGAGGGGAAUUGAAACAUCUUAGUACCCUCAGGAAAAGAAAUCAAUAGAGAUUGCGUCAGUAGCGGCGAGCGAAAGCGCAAGAGGGCAAACCCAGUGCUUGCACUGGGGGUUGUAGGACUGCAAUGUGCAAGAGGUAAGUUUAGCAGAACAUUCUGGAAAGUAUAACCAUAGAGGGUGAUAGUCCCGUAUGCGAAAAACAAACCUUAGCUAGCAGUAUCCUGAGUAGGGCGGGACACGAGGAAUCCUGUCUGAAUCCGGGUCGACCACGAUCCAACCCUAAAUACUAAUA